AUCUCAAGACAUUGAAUACAGUUCCCAGCACUAUACAGUAAGACCUUACUGUUUAUAUAGUCUACAUCUAAUAGUUUGCAUCUGCUAACCCCAAUCCAUCCCUCCCCAACCCCACUUGGUAUUAUUUUUUUCUUUCCUUUUUAACAUGGUUGCACCUGCAGCAUAUGGAAUUUCCUGGGCCAGAGGUUGAAUCAGAGCCACAUUUGCAACUACAGUAACAUGGGAUCCUUAACCCACUAAGUGAGGACAGGCAUCGAAUCUGCAUGCUCACAGAGACAAUGUCAGAUCCUUAACCCUGAGCCACAAGUGGAACAUUUAUUUUUUUAUGGAGAGGAAUUAAUAGAUGUACAUAUCCUGUCACCCAGCAAUCCCAUUUCUGAGAAUUUCUUCUGUAGUUGUAUUUGUACACAUAAUGCCAUUUGUAUAAAGUUAUUCAUUGCAGCAUUGUAUCUAACAAAAUACUGGAAACAAUGCAAGUUGGGAAGAGGGAAGAGAGGGAAGCAACGUAUUGGUUAAAAAAUUACCUUGCUUCCCUAUUCUGGGAUAUGCAAUCAGGGUAAAAUAAUAAAAGUAUGCCAUAAGUGGAUAUGGAAAGAUCUAGUAUAGUUGCUAGGUGUAAAAAGCAAGACACUAAACAAUGUCUAAAAUGCUAACUUGUACACUUGUAGAAAUGGGGUGGGGUGAGCAGAAGGAAGACUUUUACUGUUUAAGAGUGUGUGGGUGUGUUGAUCUUUGAACUAGGCUAGUGAAAAAACUUUUUUUCUUCCAGGUUUACUGAGAUAUAAUUCACAUACGGUGAAAAUAUUUUCAUAAAAGAUAAGAAACAAGAAAGCACAGGUGAUACAUGCAAGUGUGAUUUUUAUAUACAAACAAAUCGCAAGUCUAUUUAGGGGACCUAGAGACCCAAAGAAAAGGCCUCAGACCCAAACCAAAUUUUGGUAAUAAAAAUACAUGCACCUGGGGGAGGGAGGGGAAUUGGAUGAAGGCAUUCAAAAGUUACAAACAUCCAGUUAUAAUUAAGUACUAAGUAAAUAAAUAAAUAAAAUAAAGUGGAAUUCCCAUCGUGGCUCAGUGGUUAAUGAAUCCGACUAGGAACCAUGAGGUUGUGGGUUCGAUCCCUGGCCUUGCUCAUGGGUUAAGGAUCUGGCGUUGCCAUGAGCUGUGGUGUAGGUUGCAGAUGUGGCUCAGAUCCUUUGCUGCUAUGGUUCUGGUGUAGGCCAGCGGCAACAGCUCUGAUUAGACCCCUAGCCUGGGAACCUCCAUAUGGCUUGGGAAGCAGCCCUAGAAAAGGCAAAAAGACCAAAAAAAAAAAAAAAAAAAAAAAAGAGUGUAAAUCCUAACAGUUCUUAUCACAAGGAAAAACUUUUUUUCUAUUUCUUUAAUCUCGUAUCUCUGUGAGUUGAUGUACCUUCAUUAAUCUGACUGUGGUACUCAUUUCACAAUUGAACACUGAUACAGUGUUGUCAGUUACAUCUGAAUAAAACUGGAAGAAAAAAAUUCAUGGACAUGUUUUUAAGGAAAAUGAAUUGUUUAAAACAUGAAUGUUUUUAAAAAAAAGAAUCCCCAACGUUUAGCUAACCAUUUUUUUAUUAAUUACUAAUUUUGUAAUAAAAGCCUCUAGGGAUCCAGUGGUAACUAACAAAUUUAGGACAGUCACACUCAGUUUCCUUCUACCAAACCCCAGGACUUUCCUGGGCCUGAGGCUGUUGGAAGGUUAGGAGGCCUGAGGAUGCAGUCAGAUCCCAGGCAGGAAAUUUGGUUUCCCACAAAUGGGCAUGCAAUGUGCUUGCUCCAGGCUGGUUCUGUGGUCACUUUCCCUCCCUCUUUGUGGGAGUCCCAGAGGGCCCACAGGGGGCUCUGCCUCCAGAUCUCACCCAGGCCCAAUAAGAGGGGAUGGCCACAAGUACGGGUGAGAACAAGGCAGCUGGGCCUCAGAGACCUUGUGGUGAGGCCGCCCUGCUUGCCUUGGGAAGGGCAGAAGGCCCCUUGGCUGGCAGCAGACUCUGGACUCCUUAUCUGCCGGCAUUCUGCCAGCCCGCCAGCCUUGAGGUCAGAGUAGUCCUUCUGCAGACAGGGGUCCCAGCAGCAUGACCCUUCCUCAUCCACCCCCUACCCUCCUAUGUCACCAGGGAGUCUGGAAAGAGAAGGCUCCUCCAGAAGGAAUUUCUAUCCACACAAGCAAAGAACCCCCUCUUCCUAAAUAAGCACAGGGACAACUGGCUCUUUCUUCUUCAUGUUUUCAAGAAAAAGUCUAAGAUUAUCAACAAUUUUAUCAUCACACUUAGGAAUAAAAUUUGAACCUUUGGUCCUCUCUAACAAGCCUCGUGGCCUCUGGCAAGCAAUGUGACUUGGGAACACCAAUUAACCUGUCUAGAUCCAGUUUCUUUAGUUGUAAAACAAAAGGCCUAGACUCAAGAUUCCUAAAGUCCCUCCUGGUCAAUAUCCUAUCGUCUGUGGUUCUACAAAAUGCUUAAGUUAUUACUUUCUUCAAGCCUCAAGUGCGAAAAGGCUGAAUUAUUUUGGAGGAGGUCCCGAUUUCCAGACAUAUACAUCUAUUCAUGGCACUACCACUUACAUCCUAAGAUCUCGUAAAUACUGGACAUGGACUGAGGGUCCUCCGGGAAUAAACAGAGUGAAGUGUGAACAGGUAAGGAAAGUGGAAGGCUGCAGAAAGUGUUUGAGAAAAGAACCAGUCCAGUGACUUGAUAUGUAUAUAUUGUGCACACGCACACAUGAAUACUUCCAAACAUGCCCACAUGCACACACAGACAGCUACACACUGUUUGUCCUUCCUACCUAUUAUCAGCCCAGAAAAGGGACAUUUCCUUUACCUGAAGAAAUCAAAGUAGCUCCCCAAACUAAAGGUGGAAGAAAAGUCUCCGUGGGACAGUGAAUCUGUGGGACAGUCCCUCGCAGGCCACAGAAAAAAGGCCUACCCAGAAAGGCAGGGAAAUUGCACCCAUGUUCCUAAGGGGGGACUGGGCUCAUACCAUUCUUACAAUCCAAUCUACCCAUCAGCCCCUGGGACCCCUAAAUAAGCCAGCCUGUCCCACCGAGAUGAUGCUGAUAACAAGACCUCAACUAUGUUCCAGGCACAAUCACAACAUGCUGCGCCAUAUGAGAACAUCAAGAAGUGUCUCCUGCUGCAGAGUGAUGGGGCCGGGAUCUGAACAGAUUUACCUGGCUCAAAAGCCUGAAAUUCUCCUGCUACCUUAUACCAUCUCUAAGGGAGUGCUGUCUUCUCUGAACUUGACCAAACACAUCAAUGGGAACUUUCUUGUGUUGCUACCUUAUUCUCCAUCUAUGACCCUAAUAAGGGUCUCCUGGAGCCAGGCCCCAUCCUCUCUUUGCACCUUCCAGUGGCCAGUGCAGAGCCAAGCAAAGACCAGGCGCUGUGUAUUGUACAUACUGAAGGGAUGAAUUACUGAGAGUGGGGGUUUGGUAGAUCAAGGUAGUAUUCUCACCUAAAUGAUAGGGUCAAUAAUUCUGUUUGGUGCCCUCUAAUCAAACCUGCAAAUCAGGCAGAGUACCACUAGUCUGUGCAGUGGCUAUCACACAAUUAAUGAAAACCUUACCUACUAGCCUCCAACAGAAAAUGGAAUAUAUAGUUUUUAAUUCCAGCUGUUAAAAGUUACGAUUCUCAACAUUCUUUCUCUGACUUCAUCAAGUUUCUCUCAGUUUUUAUGGCUCUGGUUUUAAGAGUUAAAGAGUAAUCAUAAAUCAUAGAUGCUGUGGGUGAGCCCACAGAUUUAACCUGACCUUAGCACUGGUCCCCUUCUUCAGUCCAUAGCACAAAUUAGGGGCAGAGCUGGGACAGAGGCAAGGUGGCCAGGCCAGUACCCACUACAUGUUCCCCUCACCACUUCCCACCAGCCGACCUAGGUGGCCUGGGGUUCCUACGAAAGAGUAACUCCAGUCAAAUCCAAGCCUAGGAGGCUCCAGGAUGAAGGGUCAGGUCAAAGCUGUUCCUGCCCCCUAACCCCUUUCUUAGGCCCCAGCAGAGUACUCAGCCCCUCACCAAAUCACAAUCACACGUCCUCUUGGCCACCCAGCCCUGGUAGAUUUUAGAUCCUCAAAAUUGAAGCCACAACUGAGAGUUGAGGAAAAUUCCUUAACUCAGCUGGACCUCAGGAACAUAGGGUAAAACGGCUUGGAUGGCAUUUUGACCCAUUGCGUUAACCCACCAAGAGAGGGCAGCCUCCGCCAGACCACCUAAUUCAGUCGGUAGGGACCAAAAAUAGCUAAAAAAGCCGUGCCCACGGGACAAGCCGGGUCAGAGUUUAGUUAGUCCCUCCUUUGCCAUUCUCCAGCUCCUGCUCCGGCCAGCCGGAAGAUGCCGGGCAUUUGCCUUCAGCUGGAACGUGGUCUGACCAGUGUUGGGUGGGGGACUCAGCUCCUGAAAAGCGAGGUCCAGAACCAGUGCCUCAUUGGAGCUGCCCCUCAGUUGUGCCCGUCUACUCUCCGCUUUUUCUGUCUUCGACACUAAGGAAACCUCUCUCAGCCUUUCAGCGCGGCUAUAGACAUCCUGCUCUUGUUCCUACAUCCCCCGCUCUCCAGCCAAAGGGACCGCAACUGCGCUUUCCCUCCCCUGGCCCCCAAGUAACCCCGUCGUGGCACCGCGGCCAGGUGUCGCCUCCUUCCAGCGGACGGGGCCGUGUGCCGGCCCUCCAGAGCGGCUUUCGAAACCGCGGCCAGGCUCCGGGUCCUCGGCGCAAC
rnacentral:lncRNA from 1 species